AUUGAACGCUGGCGGCAGGCUUAACACAUGCAAGUCGAGCGGUAACAGGAGAAGCUUGCUUCUUGCUGACGAGCGGCGGACGGGUGUGUAAUACUUAGGAAUCUGCCCAGUAGUGGGGGAUAGCUCGGGGAAACUCGAAUUAAUACCGCAUACACCCUACGGGGAAAAGGGGGCGCUUGCGCUCUCGCUAUUGGAUGAGCCUAAGUCGGAUUAGCUAGUUGGUGGGGUAAAGGCCUACCAAGGCGACGAUCUGUAGCUGGUCUGAGAGGAUGAUCAGCCACACCGGGACUGAAACACGGCCCGGACUCCUACGGGAGGCAGCAGUGGGGAAUAUUGGACAAUGGGGGCAACCCUGAUCCAGCCAUGCCGCGUGUGUGAAGAAGGCCUUUUGGUUGUAAAGCACUUUAAGCAGUGAAGAAGACUCUAUGGUUAAUACCCAUAGACGAUGACAUUAGCUGCAGAAUAAGCACCGGCUAACUCUGUGCCAGCAGCCGCGGUAAUACAGAGGGUGCAAGCGUUAAUCGGAAUUACUGGGCGUAAAGCGAGCGUAAGUGGCUUGAUAAGUCAGAUGUGAAAUCCCCGGGCUUAACCUGGGAACUGCAUCUGAUACUGUUAGGCUAGAGUAGGUGAGAGGGAGGUAGAAUUUCAGGUGUAGCGGUGAAAUGCGUAGAGAUCUGAAGGAAUACCGAUGGCGAAGGCAGCCUCCUGGCAUCAUACUGACACUGAGGUUCGAAAGCGUGGGUAGCAAACAGGAUUAGAUACCCUGGUAGUCCACGCCGUAAACGAUGUCUACUAGUCGUUGGGGAACUUGAUUCCUUCGUGACGCAGCUAACGCAAUAAGUAGACCGCCUGGGGAGUACGGCCGCAAGGUUAAAACUCAAAUGAAUUGACGGGGGCCCGCACAAGCGGUGGAGCAUGUGGUUUAAUUCGAUGCAACGCGAAGAACCUUACCUGGUCUUGACAUAUCUAGAAUCCUGCAGAGAUGCGGGAGUGCCUUCGGGAAUUAGAAUACAGGUGCUGCAUGGCUGUCGUCAGCUCGUGUCGUGAGAUGUUGGGUUAAGUCCCGCAACGAGCGCAACCCUUUUCCUUAGUUACCAGCGGUUUGGCCGGGGACUCUAAGGAUACUGCCAGUGACAAACUGGAGGAAGGCGGGGACGACGUCAAGUCAUCAUGGCCCUUACGACCAGGGCUACACACGUGCUACAAUGGUAGGUACAGAGGGCAGCUACACAGCGAUGUGAUGCGAAUCUCAAAAAGCCUAUCGUAGUCCAGAUUGGAGUCUGCAACUCGACUCCAUGAAGUCGGAAUCGCUAGUAAUCGCGGAUCAGAAUGCCGCGGUGAAUACGUUCCCGGGCCU
rnacentral:rRNA from 1 species